GAUGAACGCUGGCGGCGUGCCUAAUACAUGCAAGUCGAGCGAACAGACGAGGAGCUUGCUCCUCUGACGUUAGCGGCGGACGGGUGAGUAACACGUGGAUAACCUACCUAUAAGACUGGGAUAACUUCGGGAAACCGGAGCUAAUACCGGAUAAUAUAUUGAACCGCAUGGUUCAAUAGUGAAAGACGGUUUUGCUGUCACUUAUAGAUGGAUCCGCGCCGCAUUAGCUAGUUGGUAAGGUAACGGCUUGCCAAGGCAACGAUGCGUAGCCGACCUGAGAGGGUGAUCGGCCACACUGGAACUGAGACACGGUCCAGACUCCUACGGGAGGCAGCAGUAGGGAAUCUUCCGCAAUGGGCGAAAGCCUGACGGAGCAACGCCGCGUGAGUGACGAAGGUCUUCGGAUCGUAAAACUCUGUUAUUAGGGAAGAACAAAUGUGUAAGUAACUAUGCACGUCUUGACGGUACCUAAUCAGAAAGCCACGGCUAACUACGUG
rnacentral:rRNA from 1 species